rnacentral:rRNA from 1 species
AUUGAACACUGGCGGCAGGCCUAACACAUGCAAGUCGAACGAGUGGCGGACGGGUGAGUAAUGUUUGGGAAUCUGGCUUAUGGAGGGGGAUAACUACGGGAAACUGUAGCUAAUACCGCAUACCAUCGGAUGUGCCCAAGUGGGAUUAGGUAGUUGGUGUGGUAAAGGCUCACCCAGCCGACGAUCUCUAGCUGGUCUGAGAGGAUGACAAGCCACACUGGGACUGAGACACGGUCCAGACUCCGACGGGAGGCAGCAGUGGGGAAUAUGGCACAAUGGGCGCAAGCCUGAGGCAGCCACGCCGCGUGAAUGAAGAAGGCCUUCGGGUUGUAAAGUUCUGUCGGCAGGGAGGCGUUACCUACAGAAGAAGCACAGGCUAACUCCGUGCCAGCCGCCGCGGUAAUUC